rnacentral:lncRNA from 1 species
CCCCUUUUGGCCCCAAAAUAUAGCAGUUUUACAAAAUUGUUAAAAUGUAAACCUUUAGUUAUUUAUUGGACAGUAGAAUGCUUCUGCUACAUAAAUAUGGGCUGUUUUUGACAAUACAAUGCACAUAUAUCCUGUACUAGCACCAUUAAGUCAUGCUAAAUUACUGAAAUCCUCAUAAUUCUACCAUUUUAGUUAAAUUUUAGACAGUUUUCGUGUAAAAUGAAAGUGGCCGCAUUCGUGUUCAUCCUUAAUAUUGAAAUGUAAGUUGUAUUUUAUGAUAAUACAUAACAUAUAUAAAGGUUGAGGAUGAACACGGAUGCGGCCACUUUCAUUUUUACCAAAAACCAUCUGAAAAGUGACAUUUUUCGGCAUAUUAUGUAGAUUUUUCAUAUUUGAGCAUGAAUCGGAUCGUUUUUAAUGACUAAAUCUGUUAAAAUCUUUCACAUAAACUAAUUAAUUCAAAUAAAAUAGACACUUAAGUGUUUAAAAAAUGG